AGUAUAGAUAGAGAGAGAGAGAGAGGGGUAAUGGGGAUUGAAAGGGGGAGGAGGGGAUUGGUGGAAGAUCUGAUAGAGAAGGCAGGCGGUUGUGCCGUCGUGGACGGUGGUUUCGCAACUCAGCUUGAGAAACAUGGGGCCGCCAUCAAUGACUCUCUUUGGAGUGCUGUUUGCUUGAUCAAAGACCCCGAUCUCAUUAAACUGGUUCAUAUGGAAUAUUUGGAGGCUGGUGCAGACAUAUUGGUAACUUCAUCUUAUCAGGCAACCAUUCCAGGAUUCCUGUCCAGAGGACUGUCCAUUGAAGAAAGUGAAUUGUUAUUGAAAAAGAGUGUGAAACUGGCUGUUGAUGUGCGUGAUAAGUUCUGGGAUGCCAAGAAUAGAAUUUUUGGGCAUGGCUAUAACAGGGCUUUGGUUGCAGCCUCUAUUGGAAGCUAUGGAGCGUAUCUCGCUGAUGGUUCAGAAUACAGUGGGCGUUAUGGACCUCAUGUGGAUUUGGAUAAGCUGAAGGACUUUCAUCGCCGAAGAUUGCAAGUUCUUGUGGAAGCAGGUCCAGAUUUGCUUGCCUUUGAGACCAUUCCAAAUAAACUAGAAGCUCAGGCUUGUGUUGAGUUGCUUGAAGAAGAAAACAUCCAAAUUCCAUCUUGGAUCUGUUUCAGCUCCGUAGAUGGCGAAAAUGCGCCAUCUGGAGAGAGCUUUAAGGAGUGCCUUGAUAUUGUGAACAAGAGUGACAUAGUGUCUGCAGUUGGGAUAAACUGUGCACCUCCCCAUUUUAUUCAAGGUCUUGUUCAGAAAUUUAAGCAGUUAACGGAGAAGGUAAUAGUUGUUUAUCCCAAUAGUGGUGAAGUGUGGGAUGGUACAGCUAAGAGAUGGCUGAUUAUAUCUUCCGUAUAAAACCCUAAAAAAUGAUGUGCUAUUGGUUGUGAUUAUGGUGUAACGGUUGUCAUGGUGGAGGCAGUGAGGAUAGUUGUGUGCUGGCGGCAGUGAAUCCAAUUGUGUUGGUUGUGUAGUGAAGCCAUCAAAGUGUUUUGAUGAUGAAAAGUUCAAGUUGUUUGCUAUGAGAUGGCGAGAUUCAGGAGCUAAACUCAUAGGUGGUUGUUGUCGAACUACACCUUCCACCAUUCGAGCCAUCUGCAAGGUGUUAAAAGAAAAGAC